GACUUGGACUGGCCGCCAGGGUCCGGAAGAGGAGCGAGUUCACUCGAUCAUCUACGUUACGUGGGUGGUGGGGAGCGACGAGCUCUGGGUUACUGUGAAGAAAUUAGAGUGUUUAAAGCAGGCAGGAAAGCUUGAAUAGACGAGCAUGGAAUAACAAGAUAGGACAUUGAGAGCCUCUUGUUGGUGAAGGGGGACGGAUGUAAUGAUUAAUAGGGUCAGUUGGGGGCAUUAGUAUUCAGUAGUCAGAGGUGAAAUUCUUGGAUUUACUGAAGACUAACUAGUGCGAAAGCAUUUGCCAAGGAUGUUUUCAUUAAUCAAGAACGAAAGUUAGGGGAUCGAAGACGAUCAGAUACCGUCGUAGUCUUAACUAUAAACGAUGCCGACUAAGGAUCGGCAGGGGUCGGUUAGCGACACUGUCGGGACUUUGUGAGAAAUCAAAGUUUAUGGGUUCUGGGGGGAGUAUGGUCGCAAGGCUGAAACUUAAAGGAAUUGACGGAAGGGCACCACCAGGAGUGGAGCCUGCGGCUUAAUUUGACUCAACACGGGAAAACUCACCAGGUCCGGACAUGGUAAGGAUUGACAGAUUGAGAGCUCUUUCUUGAUUCUGUGGGUGGUGGUGCAUGGCCGUUCUUAGUUGGUGGAGUGAUUUGUCUGGUUAAUUCCGAUAACGAACGAGACCUUGACCUGCUAACUAGAUGCUAGUACGAGAGUAUUGGUAGACUUCUUAGAGGGACUGACUA
rnacentral:rRNA from 1 species